CCACAUCCCGAUCACAUCUCAUCAUGCAAGCACCAAGCCUCCUGUUCUCGCUGCUCCUCGGAGCGCUUCUGAUUGGACUCUGUAUGUCUCGUCCGCCAAAGGUUCACCAACAGCGCCACCAACUCCGCCAAUCGGGUAACUGCAGCGAAGGGUCUUAUAUUUGCAACGACGGACGCUGCAUUCCCGAUUUCUGUAAAUGCAACAAAUGGAUAGACUGCAUUGGGGGAGAGGACGAGGUCGGCUGCGCCUGUGACCCGCUUGACUUCAAAUGCAACGACGGGAUUUGCAUCUCUUCCGUGUUUCAAUGUGACGGAAUUCCGAUGUGCCUUGGUGGGGAAGACGAGGCCGAUUGCAGUAAGUGUGACUUCAUGGAGCGUUGCAACCGAUCGGAGAACCCUGAAUUAUUCCGCUGUUGUUUUGUCUCGGUUAAAGAUUCAGAAGUGUUUAAGGUAUCAGUGUUGGUAAAAAUAAAAUGGCGUGAUUUCACGGAUUGCCUGAUCAAUACAUUGUCUGUUAAUUAAUUUACAUUCAUUGAAAUUAAAUCGCGGAGGGUCGGCCAUUUUUGUCGACCGUAAACAUGAAAAAUGGACUCUCCAUGGCAACGUCUUGGUCGCACAAUGUUCUGUGAAUCGCCCAUAUUCGUUAGACAUUGUCGUUUUUCUCUUGUUUUACUCCUCAUAAAGGUUGUCUGUCUAAUCAGUUUACCUGCAACGACGGAACAUGCAUCCCCGGUAGCUUUAAAUGCGACAAAUGGAUAGACUGCAACAAGGGAGAGGACGAGAUCGGCUGCGCCUGUGACCCGCUUGACUUCAAAUGCAACGACGGCAUUUGCAUCCUUCCCGAGAUGGAAUGUGACGGAAAUCUGAUGUGCCUUGGUGGGG
rnacentral:misc_RNA from 1 species